rnacentral:rRNA from 1 species
AUUGAACGCUGGCGGCAUGCCUUACACAUGCAAGUCGAACGGCAGCACGGAGCAACCUGGUGGCGAGUGGCGAACGGGUGAGUAAUGCAUCGGAACGUACCUUUCAGUGGGGGAUAACGUAGCGAAAGUUACGCUAAUACCGCAUAUUCUGUGAGCAGGAAAGCAGGGGAUCGCAAGACCUCGCGCUGAUUGAGCGGCCGAUGUCAGAUUAGCUAGUUGGUGAGGUAAAGGCUCACCAAGGCGACGAUCUGUAGCGGGUCUGAGAGGAUGAUCCGCCACACUGGAACUGAGACACGGUCCAGACUCCUACGGGAGGCAGCAGUGGGGAAUUUUGGACAAUGGGGGCAACCCUGAUCCAGCCAUGCCGCGUGAGUGAAGAAGGCCUUCGGGUUGUAAAGCUCUUUCGGCCGGGAAGAAAUCGCACGGGCUAAUACCCUGUGUGGAUGACGGUACCGGAAUAAGAAGCACCGGCUAACUACGUGCCAGCCGCCGCUGUAACAC